UACGUAGGGGGCAAGCGUUGUCCGGAUUUAUUGGGCGUAAAGAGCGUGUAGGCGGCCUGACAAGUCUGCUGUGAAAACUCGAGGCUCAACCUCGAGAUGUCGGCGGAAACUGUCUGGCUAGAGUCCGGAAGGGGCGAGUGGAAUUCCUGGUGUAGCGGUGAAAUGCGCAGAUAUCAGGAGGAACACCAAUGGCGAAGGCAGCUCGCUGGAACGGUACUGACGCUGAGGCGCGAAAGCGUGGGGAGCGAACAGG
rnacentral:rRNA from 1 species